rnacentral:rRNA from 1 species
CUACGGGGGGCUGCAGUGGGGAAUACUGCACAAUGGGCGCAAGCCUGAUGCAGCCAUGCCGCGUGUAUGAAGAAGGCCUUCGGGUUGUAAAGUACUUUCAGCGGGGAGGAAGGGAGUAAAGUUAAUACCUUUGCUCAUUGACGUUACCCGCAGAAGAAGCACCGGCUAACUCCGUGCCAGCAGCCGCGGUAAUACGGAGGGUGCAAGCGUUAAUCGGAAUUACUGGGCGUAAAGCGCACGCAAGCGGUUUGUUAAGUCAGAUGUGAAAUCCCCGGGCUCAACCUGGGAACUGCAUCUGAUACUGGCAAGCUUGAGUCUCGUAGAGGGGGGUAGAAUUCCAGGUGUAGCGGUGAAAUGCGUAGAGAUCUGGAGGAAUACCGGUGGCGAAGGCGGCCCCCUGAACGAAGACUGACGCUCAGGUGCGAAAGCGUGGGGAGCAAACAGGAUUAGAUACCCGGGUAGUC